AUUGAACGCUGGCGGCAGGCCUAACACAUGCAAGUCGAACGAGUGGCGGACGGGUGAGUAAUGUCUGGGAAACUGCCUGAUGGAGGGGGAUAACUACUGGAAACGGUAGCUAAUACCGCAUACCAUCGGAUGUGCCCAGAUGGGAUUAGCUAGUAGGUGGGGUAUAGGCUCACCUAGGCGACGAUCCCUAGCUGGUCUGCGAGGAUGACCGGCAACACUGGGACUGAGACACGGUCCAUACUCGUACGGGAGGCAGCAGUGGGAACUGUUGCGCGAUGGGCGCAAGACUGAUGCAGCCAUGCCGCGUGUAUGAAGGGGGCCUUCAGGUUGGAAAGUACUUUCAGCGGGGAGGCGUUACCCGCAGAAGAAGCACCGGCUAACUCCGUGCCAGCAGCCGCGGUAAUUC
rnacentral:rRNA from 1 species